rnacentral:rRNA from 1 species
CCUACGGGAGGCAGCAGUGGGGAAUAUUGGACAAUGGGCGCAAGCCUGAUCCAGCAAUGCCGCGUGAGUGAUGAAGGCCUUAGGGUUGUAAAGCUCUUUUACCCGGGAUGAUAAUGACAGUACCGGGAGAAUAAGCUCCGGCUAACUCCGUGCCAGCAGCCGCGGUAAUA